UACAGAGGGGGCGAGCGUUGUUCGGAAUUACUGGGCAUAAAGGGCGCGUAGGCGGCCGACUAAGUCAGACGUGAAAUCCCCCGGCUCAACCGGGGAACUGCGUCUGAUACUGGACGGCUUGAAUCCGGGAGAGGGAUGUGGAAUUCCAGGUGUAGCGGUGAAAUGCGUAGAUAUCGGGAGGAACACCAGUGGCGAAGGCGACUUCCUGGCCUGUUCUUGACGCUGAGGCGCGAAAGCUAGGGUAGCAAACGGG
rnacentral:rRNA from 1 species